ensembl:snRNA U6 U6 spliceosomal RNA
GUGUAAGCUUCGGUAGCACAUACAUUUAAACUGGUAAAUAAAGAGAAGAUUAGCAUUGUCUCUUGCAAAGAUGAUAUGCAAGGUUUUUGAAGCCUUCCAUCAUUUU